GCUUACGGCCAUACCACCCUGAAAACGCCCGAUCUCGUCUGAUCUCGAAAGCUAAGCAGGGUCGGCCCUGGUUAGUACUUGGAUCGGAGACCGCCUGGGAAUACCAGGUGCUGUAAGCU
rnacentral:rRNA from 1 species